rnacentral:rRNA from 1 species
UCGGAGGGGGCUAGCGUUGUUCGGAAUUACUGGGCGUAAAGCGCACGUAGGCGGCUUUGUAAGUUAGAGGUGAAAGCCCGGGGCUCAACCCCGGAAUUGCCUUUAAGACUGCAUCGCUUGAACGUCGGAGAGGUGAGUGGAAUUCCGAGUGUAGAGGUGAAAUUCGUAGUAUCGGAAGAACACCAGUGGCGAAGGCGGCUCACUGGACGACUGUUGACGCUGAGGUGCGAAAGCGUGGGGAGCAAACAGG